AAUGCAAUUCACAGUUCAGAUCCUCCCUUACUUCAGAUUGGAGGAAAAAAAAAAGUUUAAUAAAAUGCUGUGCAAUGUUGUAAGAGUGGGUCAGAAGAUCAGCAUUGUCUCAACACGGUCACUGGGGACAUGGACAGAGAGAUACCUGACAACGACCUGUUUGGAAAACAGUUGCUGAUCCCAAGAGUGGAAUGUGGUGCAAAGGCUCCUGAAUACAGAACUGUGUGGUACAAAGAGUGCUGUGCUGUUCUUGGGAAUACAGAACUGUGUGGCAUGAGUGCUGUGCUGUUCUCCUGAGCACUGACCGUGUGGUGCAGGCAGUGCUGGGCUGUUCUGUGGUGCCUGGGCUGUCUGCUACAGAGUGCUGUGCUAUUGUUUGGUACCUGGGCCCAGCCGGAGCCAUUAGAGAUAACCGCAUAGCCACUGUCAAAAAAGAUGGAUCGCAACUGUUGCCAUAACAUCAGUGAAGAAAUAAUGAAUUUUAGAUGAACUUUGCUUCAUUAUAAUACCAAAACACACCUCCUGGUUGAAGGCUGCCCGCCUCCAAGACUGACCACGCCUUGGACACUCCCCCUCAUGCAUGUGUGGGAGCCUCGCUUGAGAAGGGCGGAGAUAUGAUAAUUGCAUUCUGAGAAGGGCGGAGAUCCCUGAGGCAGAGGAGGAGCAAGGUGUGUCACUAAGCAUAAAAAAUGACUUCUGGGCAACAAAAAUUUGAAGCAUCCCCACCAAGAAUCACCGCGACUGACGACGGAGCGCUGGCUGGACCCGGGACCGUUGGGGCGUCUAGAGAUCAGCGGUGGUAGCUAUAACCUCUCUUUCUCUUCUUUCUAAACUUCACUUUUCCCCUUUCUUUCACCCAUCUCUAACUAUCGUGUGCCACUUCAUGGGCAACACAACAAAGUUUCACAGUUUGAUUGAUACAAUCCCCUUUGGUGUUGGUUGCCUUAAUUUUGCACUUUCGAGAUUGUAGUAAACGAACCAUCACGAGUCCACCAAGUGGACCGUGACAAAUACUCAAUUCUUUUCUGUGUCUAGAGAAAAUGCUUGGAUCACCUGUUUCUGAGUAUUACAAGAGUAUUUUCUAUGCUAGCAUGAUGAAAAUAAACUUGGAGAUUGAAAGCAAUGGAUUUGAGUUUUCUACUCAAGACCUCUUAAUGGGAAACAGCAUGUUAUCCUCAGUUAACCAACAAUGUGGUAAAUGUUAUUGUGAAAUAAU